rnacentral:lncRNA from 1 species
AGAGUUCGCUCCAGUCUCCCCUGAGGAAGUGCUGGUCAGGCGCUGGGUCCCUGGCUUCCUGUCUGUACUCUCCCCAGCCUGUGGGGAAAUCCCGAGAGCUUUGUCGGCUGCCCAACGAGCCUGUUGGUUUUUCAAGUUCAUUCACUGUGGCUUUUAGAAGCAGUCAGGCAGACAGACGCUCAGAGCCAGAUGUGUAACUUUUUGCUGCCAGCUGCACCGGCUUCCCAUUGCCUUCCUUUUACCCCCGGAAGCAGAGACUAAAAGCAAGAAGCAGGCUUGCAUAUGUGAAAUGUGAA